AGCUAACGCGUUAAGUAUUCCGCCUGGGGAGUACGCUUGCAAAGGUGAAACUCAAAGGAAUUGACGGGGACCCGCACAAGCGGUGGAGUAUGUGGUUUAAUUCGAUGCAACACGAAGAACCUUACCAGGUUUUGAAUUCAUUCAAACUCCUUGGAAAAAAGGAGCCUCCUUCGGGAAUGAAAUGACAGGUGGUGCAUGGCUGUCGUCAGCUCGUGUUGUGAAAUGUCGAGUUAAGUCUCGUAACGAGCGCAACCCAUGUCUCUUGUUGCUCACUGAGUGCUUAAGAGAGACUGCCGGUGACAACACGGAGGAAGGUGUGGAUGAUGUCAAGUCAGCAUGCCCCUUACAUCCUGGGCUACACACGUACUACAAUGGUAAGGACAAUGAGCUGCGAUCCUGCGAAGGCUAGCCAAUCUCAAAAACCUUAUCUCAGUUCGGAUUGCACUCUGCAACUCGAGUGCAUGAAGGUGGAAUCGCUAGUAAUCGCUGGUCAGCAUACAGCGGUGAAUACGUUCCCGGGUCUU
rnacentral:rRNA from 1 species